GGAUACACAAGCAAGCAUUGGCAAUUUGGAGACUUGUAGAUCUGGACGACUAGUUAGGAAGAAGACCAAGGAAGUCAACAGCCUCUACUCGUAGAUUUGGUAAGUCUCUUCUUUUCGGUGUUUCUUCUUCAUGAUGAUUACUUUGAGAAAUCUAGCUUGAUGCAUAUGUUUGAAGCGGUUGAUCUUUAAAUAGCUUGAUGUACAUUGCUUUCUUAUUCUGGUGCUCUAAUGUGUAUGCUCACUGUGUAAUGAUCAGUACUCUUGUUCUAAUUGCUACUUGUCAAUUAUCGUGUAGUACUGUUGUAAUUUCUACUUAUCUUCUUGUAUGGCUGUUGUAAUUGCUACUUAUCACCUACUAGUGUUGUUCCAAUUGCUACCACUCACCUACUAGUGCUGUUCUAAUUGCUACUUGUCUCUUAGUAGUGCUAUUCUAGUUGCUACUUAUCAUGUAGUAGUGUUGUUCUAAAUGCUACUUAUCACUUGUAUUUGUCUUUUAAAUGGUACCUAGCUGGAGCUUGGAGCUAGCUGGAGCUUGGAGCAUGAUGCUAGUUGGAGGCUUGGAGCAUGGAAGCUGGAGCUAGUGAUGAUUUCUUUUGGAGUUGUUGUUCGUUGUGAUGCUUUGAUGGUUGCCUUUUGCUGUUCGGUGUGAUGCUUUGAUGGCUGUCUUUUGGAGAUGUUUCUAUGCGAAGUCCUUUAAAUUCCUAGAGUUGGUUGUACUGAAGUAUUUAAACUUUGAACUAUGAU
rnacentral:lncRNA from 1 species